GCAGUCGAGCGGAUGACGGGAGCUUGCUCCUUGAUUCAGCGGCGGACGGGUGAGUAAUGCCUAGGAAUCUGCCUGGUAGUGGGGGACAACGUUUCGAAAGGAACGCUAAUACCGCAUACGUCCUACGGGAGAAAGCAGGGGACCUUCGGGCCUUGCGCUAUCAGAUGAGCCUAGGUCGGAUUAGCUAGUUGGUGGGGUAAUGGCUCACCAAGGCGACGAUCCGUAACUGGUCUGAGAGGAUGAUCAGUCACACUGGAACUGAGACACGGUCCAGACUCCUACGGGAGGCAGCAGUGGGGAAUAUUGGACAAUGGGCGAAAGCCUGAUCCAGCCAUGCCGCGUGUGUGAAGAAGGUCUUCGGAUUGUAAAGCACUUUAAGUUGGGAGGAAGGGCAGUAAGCUAAUACCUUGCUGUUUUGACGUUACCGACAGAAUAAGCACCGGCUAACUCUGUGCCAGCAGCCGCGGUAAUACAGAGGGUGCAAGCGUUAAUCGGAA
rnacentral:rRNA from 1 species